rnacentral:lncRNA from 1 species
AUCCAUUUGUUUUUGUUUCAGUAUCGGUUUAUGAGAAAGAGAGCAAUCAGUCAGCACUUGGAAUCAAGCUUCCAGCCAAGAACUGACUGCCUGGAACCCCUUACCUGAUUACUUACCUGGCAUUGCUCUCGAGUACUCAUGUUCAACAUCUUAUGUUUCCAGGGAAGAUUCCGCAUCUGCUUGAGGAACAGAUAGGGCAAGUGCGAAGGAUACAAGGAAGCAUGUGGAGACAAGCGUAACAGCACACGUGCCGAUACAUCCAUUACUCUGUCAAAAGCAAAAGUAUCCCAUAUCAGCAGGGCGGAACGUACUCUAGAUUUGAUGGACUUGUUUUGACCCUCAAAUUCUUCAGUCGGCCUUAUACUCUGGAGGAAACCAGAAAACCCUCCAGCUCAGUUCAAGAAUAAGCCUGUGGAAAGUUACUUCUUCAAAAGCAAAAGUAUCUCAUAUCAUCUCUUCUCAUUUUUCCUCUUUAUCCUUCAUGCUGCUGCAAGAUGGGGAGAAGGUGAACAAUCAGUCGGAGCUCUGAUUGCUUACCUUGUCUGUCACCUCUUUCAGCAGACCCCCUAGCUCGGCGACUUGGGGGACUCCUACUACAUGGUUUGUAUCGCGCUUGACCAAGCCUGAAACUACAAGUAAGCUUCAAGUGAAAUUGAUACAUUACCUUGUGCAUCUCCACCAGUUAAAGAUACCACCCCUGGAUGGAGGAAGAGUACUUCCAGAGAAGAUGCCACAUCUACCUAUGAGACAGAUAAGGCAAGUCAAGACGACACCACACUCCGAUACUUAGAAGUUUCGUGAUUACGAGAUCAUUCUCCACAAUAUUUCCUAAUGUCAUUUGUACUAAAUCAUUCACUUGUACUCACUAAAGGAGAGCUUGAACCUAUGUACUUGUGUAAACCCUUCACAAUUAAUGAGAACUCUUCUAUUCCGUGGACGUAGCCAAUCUGGGUGAACCACGUACAUCUUGUGUUUGCUUUCCUAUCUCUAUCCAUUUAUAUACUUAUCCACACUAAUGACCGGAGCAAUCUAGCGAAGAUCACAAAAAGCGACUGUUUUCGCUACCUAGGAUCUAUCUUGCAAGAGAACGGAGAAUUAGAUGGAGAUCUCAACCAUAGAAUACGAGCUGGAUGGAUGAAGUGUAAGAAUGCAUCUGGCGUGUUGUGUGACCGUCGUAGGCCACUGAAGCUCAAGGGAAAAUUUUAUAGGACGGCAAUAAGGCCAGCGAUGUUGUAUGGCACAGAAUGUUGGGCGGUGAAGCAUCAACACGUUACACAAAAUGGGUGUAGCGGAGAUGAGGAUGCUUCGUGGGAUGUGUGGGCACACGAGAAAGGAUAAGAUUGGGAAUGAGGAUAUCCGAGGUAAAGUAGGAGUAGCCGAAAUUGUAGGAAAGAUGAGAGAAAAUCGGCUCCGGUGAUUUGGACAUGUGCAAAGAAGGCCGACUGACGCUCCGGUUCGAAGAUGUGACUAAGGGACAGAGGUUCAGGGCCGAAGGGGUAGAGGAAGACCUAGGAAAACUUUGGAAGAGACUCUAAGAAAAGACUUAGAGUACUUGGAUCUAACGGAGGACAUGACACAAAACCGAGCGCAAUGGCGUUCUAAGAUUCAUAUAGCCGACCCCACUUAGUGGGAAAAGGCUUUGUUGUUGUUGUUGUUGUUGUUGUUGUAUCGGUUUAUGAGAGUUUGAUAGGAAUUAGUAGAACUUGGGUUUACGUUUGAUCUCAUAGAAGUAGUAGUCGAAUCUGUAGCUAUCAGUUUCUUGUUAAGCAAUAGUCAUUUUCGGUUUUCUGUUUAUUGAAUUUGAACACCUACGUGUAAAAGCUAUCGUCAUUUUAAUCCCCAUUUCUGUGUGUUGAUAGUGAUCGCCUUCGAAUGAGAAAUCUUGUUUUAUUAACGAUAGUUGAUGCAAGUACACCUAGUUCAGCUGUGUUUUUUACAUUCCAUCUCAUAGAAGUUCGUUGUUAGACAAGCAGUCUAGUGUAGUAGCUAUGGUCUUUAAUUUUAAUCCCAUUUCUGUACUAUCUUAUUGAGCAUGAUCACCUUGGG